rnacentral:rRNA from 1 species
UUACAAUGGCAGGUACANAGGGGUGCUACCGGGUGACCGGAUGCCGAUCUCGAAAACCUGUCCCAGUUCGGACUGGAGUCUGCAACCCGACUCCACGAAGUUGGAUUCGCUAGUAAUCGCGCAUCAGCCAUGGCGCGGUGAAUACGUUCCCGGGCCUUGUACACACCGCCCGUCAAGCCAUGGGAGCCGGGGGCGCCUGAAGUCCGGGACCGCGAGGACCGGCCUAAGGCGAAACUGGUGACUGGGGCUAAGUCGUAACAAGGUAUC